rnacentral:rRNA from 1 species
UACGAAGGGGGCUAGCGUUGCUCGGAAUCACUGGGCGUAAAGCGCACGUAGGCGGCUUCUUAAGUCAGGGGUGAAAUCCUGGAGCUCAACUCCAGAACUGCCUUUGAUACUGAGGAGCUUGGAGUCCGGGAGAGGUGAGUGGAACUGCGAGUGUAGAGGUGAAAUUCGUAGAUAUUCGCAAGAACACCAGUGGCGAAGGCGGCUCACUGGCCCGGUACUGACGCUGAGGCGCGAAAGCGUGGGGAGCGAACAGG